rnacentral:rRNA from 1 species
GGGGCUUGCGCCACAUUAGUUAGUUGGUGAGGUAAAGGCUUACCAAGAUUAUGAUGUGUAGCUGGACUGAGAGGUUGAACAGCCACAUUGGGACUGAGACACGGCCCAAACUCCUACGGGAGGCAGCAGUAGGGAAUUUUCGGCAAUGGAGGAAACUCUGACCGAGCGACGCCGCGUGAACGAUGAAGUAUUUCGGUAUGUAAAGUUCUUUUAUUGAAGAAGAAAAAAUAGUGGAAAAACUAUCUUGACGUUAUUCAAUGAAUAAGCCCCGGCUAACUAUGUGCCAGCAGCCGCGGUAAGACAUAGGGGGCGAGCGUUAUCCGGAAUUAUUGGGCGUAAAGGGUGCGUAGGCGGUUAGAUAAGUCUAUAAUUUAAUUUCAGUGCUUAACGCUGUCUUGUUAUAGAAACUGUCUUGACUAGAGUGAGAUAGAGGCAAGCGGAAUUCCAUGUGUAGCGGUAAAAUGUGUAAAUAUAUGGAGGAACACCAGAAGCGUAGGCGGCUUGCUGGGUCUUUACUGACGCUGAGGCACGAAAGCGUGGGGAGCAAACAGGAUUAGAUACCCUGGUAGUCCACGCUGUAAACGAUGAGUACUAAGUGUCGGGGUAACUCGGUACUGAAGUUAACACAUUAAGUACUCCGCCUGAGUAGUACGUACGCAAGUAUGAAACUUAAAGGAAUUGACGGGACUCCGCACAAGCGGUGGAUCAUGUUGUUUAAUUCGAAGAUACACGAAAAACCUUACCAGGUCUUGACAUACUCUGCAAAGCUAUAGAAAUAUAGUGGAGGUUAUCAGGGAUACAGGUGGUGCAUGGUUGUCGUCAGUUCGUGUCGUGAGAUGUUAGGUUAAGUCCUAAAACGAACGCAACCCCUGUCGCUAGUUGCCAGCACGUAAUGGUGGGGACUUUAGCGAGACUGCCAAUUAAACAUUGGAGGAAGGUGGGGAUAACGUCAAAUCAUCAUGCCCCUUAUGAUCUGGGCUACAAACGUGAUACAAUGGCUAUUACAAAGAGUAGCUGAAACGCGAGUUUUUAGCCAAUCUCAAAAAA